AGUCACAUGGUCAUGUCUGGCUGCAAGGGAUGUUGGGAAAUGUAGAAUGUGGUCUCUCUCUGUCUCAUUAGCCAUAAGGUUCUGUUUAAACUUAGGAAUUCUGUUUCUAUAGAAUUAGGGGAAGACCAAUAUUAGCAACAAGAAGCCUCUGCCACCAUGGAAGAAGGAUCUGGAAAGAAGGGUGGGAUCUCAGCCUGAUGGCAGGUCUUACCCAAGAGGGAAUUUUUUUCUCAGGAGAGUGAAGAAAGCCUGGCUUUCCUCAUCAGCUCUCUUUGUGUUGAAUUCAUCAGUCAUGACAAUCAUUUGAGAAACCUUAGAAGAUCAUCCCAAACCUGGAAAAAGUCAGUUACAUUAGGAAAGGAGUGAGCAUAAAGAGCACCUACUAGAGAGAGGGUCCUUUCACACACAUGACCUCAUGUAACCUUCACAAUCAUGCCAUAAGGCCCAGCCUGAUCAGCCCCUGUCAACUGCUCCAGCAUCAUCAUCUACCACACCACCCUUUGCUCCAUUGAACUUCGGCCACACUGGCUGUUUUAACGAUCUACUGCGGCAAGACAAACCAUCCUGAAACCUAGUGGCUUGAAACAGCAACUGUGGAUUAUUCCUCAUGAUUCUGUGAAUUGGUGGAGCUCAGCUGGGAGGUUCAUCUCUGUUCUACUCUGAUGUUGGUGGAGGUGACUCGUGGCCUCAUUUGGCUCGGACUUUUGCAGGAACUGGAGCAACCUCUCUCACAUGGAGGACACCUGGACAUCUCUUUCUCUCCACCUUGUCGCUGGAUCCCUUUACAUGCUGGCUCAGGAAUCCAGAGUGAGAAUUAAGAGUGCCUACCUCAUCCUCAUGGGGGAGUUGUAAAGACCAAUGAAAAUGACCUAUAUCUAACUUAUCAAAUGAUCUGGAACUUGAAAAGAAAAGCUGAUGGUUUGCCAAAAGAAAAUGAACUCCAAACUCUUGGGGUCUGAACUGGGUUCAAGCAUCAGAUCCAGGGGAGCCCAGGGGGAUGCUGCUUAGUCAGGGGCCUCAAAUGUUCUCUGCACAAGCCAGAUAGCAAGGAGGAUGUACGGAAAGAGGAGAGAGAGGAAGCUAAAGAGAAAAGUAAAUGAAACCAGAAUGGCCUUCUCCCCAGGACCUCCAUCCCGAGCCUUGCAGCGAGAGUGAAGAAGCAUCUGAGCUGUCCUCCAGGGACGAGCAAGGAAAAGGAUCCCCCAUUUUGGGGAGAAUCACGUGGCAAAACAGGAAAACCAGACCAGCAGAGAGGAGAGAGACCAGCAAUCAGACCCUCCCAGAGACAAUCAUUGUUAACAUAUUGGUGCGGACCUUUCCUAAUUUCUUUUCUAUAGAUAUGUUAUAAUUUUCCUCUUUAAAAAUAGAACCAAAUUAUUCUAUUUUGUAGUUGAUUUUUUUUUCCAACUUAUGACAGCGAUGGUUAAAUUUUAUGCGUUACCUUGGCUAGGUUAUGGUGCACAGUUGUUUGGUCAAACACCAAUCUAGAUGCUGCUAUGAAGGUAUUUCACAGAAGUAAUGCGCAUCUACAAUCAGCUGACUUUAAAUAAAGGAGAUUACCUUUGAUAAUGUGGGUGGGCUUCAUCCAAUCAUGUGAAGGUCUUAGAGCCAAAACUGAGGUUUCUUGG